GUACUGCUCAGUAACACGUGGAUAACCUGCCCUUAGGACUGGCAUAACCCCGGGAAACUGGGGAUAAUUCCGGAUAGUUCAUGGUAGCUGGAAUGCUCCAUGAUCGAAAGCUAUUGCGCCUAAGGAUGGGUCUGCGGUCUAUCAGGUAGUAGUGGGUGUAAUGUACCUACUAGCCGACGACGGAUACGGGUUGUGGGAGCAAGAGCCCGGAGAUGGAUUCUGAGACAUGAAUCCAGGCCCUACGGGGCGGAGCAGGCGCGAAAACUUUACAAUGCGGGAAACCGCGAUAAGGGGACACCGAGUGCCAGCAUCUUAUGUUGGCUGUCCGCAUGUAUAAAUCACAUGUGUUAGCAAGGGCCGGGCAAGACCGGUGCCAGCCGCCGCGGUAACACCGGCGGCCCGAGUGGUGGCCACUAUUAUUGGGUCUAAAGGGUCCGUAGCCGGUUUGGUCAGUCUUCCGGGAAAUCUGACGGCUUAACCGUUAGGCUUUCGGGGGAUACUACCAGGCUUGGGACCGGGAGAGGUAAGAGGUACUACGUGGGUAGGAGUGAAAUCUUGUAAUUCUCGUGGGACCACCAGUGGCGAAGGCGUCUUACCAGAACGGGUCCGACGGUGAGGGACGAAAGCUGGGGGCACGAACCGGAUUAGAUACCCGGGUAGUCCCAGCCGUAAACUAUGCUCGCUAGGUGUCAGGGACGGUGCGACCGUUUCUGGUGCCGCAGGGAAGCCGUGAAGCGAGCCACCUGGGAAGUACGGUCGCAAGGCUGAAACUUAAAGGAAUUGGCGGGAAUCACUAGUGC
rnacentral:rRNA from 1 species